GUGGUGUCCAGGUCAAACUUUUCAUAAUCAGCUGUUCCCCCUAGGGGGAGAUGCCCCUCGAGAUGCAUCAUGUAUCUCCUCCAAUAUAUGUGAGGAAGGAGGACAGGAGACAAAGGCUGGAUUAAACAAUGGCUACUCCUGAUGAAUAGGAGCUAGAAACAUGGCAAGAUUAAAGACAGUAAAGUUGUGCUAAAUCAUGACUAACUUAGUCUGAAUCCUGCCUGGAAACUACAGAAUUGUGACAGUCCUAGAAGAUGGAAAUCCCAAACUGUCUCCAUCCUCAUGUAAAAAAUAUGAACAGAUUUAUGCAACAUGUCAAAUAUCGUCAUGCAGGGAGUACUGCUUCAAAAUGAAUGCAAACCUCCAGAGGUUCAACCAGCUGCAGCCUCCUCUGAGGUCACUGCUGUUCCAUUCCCCAGCAAAGUGUACAGGCUCCUUGUCUAUACCAAUGACAGCUUUACAGAUGAUACAGCCUUAUGCUUUGCAGAAAAUCCAACAGAUGAGUUGAGUUUUGGAAAUGGAAUUGGAAAGGAGAACUAGCAUUCAUUGUACCUAUCUUAAGAUUACAUCUAUAUUAUAAGAAGAAGAAGAAGAAAUAAAUUCCUGAAGCAGACCCAGGUACAAUCUCCAUUCUUUGGGAGUUUGUCUUGAAUCAUCUCAGGACAGCUUCAUGCAUUACAAAAUUACCAGGAGCAUUUCCAGAUGGCGCUUUAAACUCGGAAUGGAGGGUGUGCAUUCACACAUUGGCCAGAUUUGUGUCAAAGUCCAUGUGAGAUAUUGGGGAGCAUGUCACACACAAUUUGGGUUUUUCAUUUUGUGUUGGAGCCUAGCCUGAUUUAUGACUGGGGUUAAAAAAACAUUGUGGUGUUUUGUUUUGUUUUGUUUUACAAAUUCAAACUUGGUAAAGCCUGGCAGUAAACCUGCAGUAACUCCUGUCUUCUGGGAAAUGUCAUGUAUGCCUGUGACCCAUUCUGUAAUGUAUGAGAAAUAAACUCACUCUUUUUAAUUGCC